GCACAGGCCCAGGGUGAACAGGAAACACGAGAGCCGCCCUGCCGGGAAGCGUCCCCAUGUGGGUACCACAUCCCCCCGGUGUGACAGAGGGAAGUGGCGGUGAGUGGGGGAGGCCUCUACACUGUACUGGGCAGGAUCACACCACAACUGCUCAAACCACACACAAGGUCCUGCCGUCAGAGGAGAGCUGGAAGCCGCUGUGGCAGGCACAGUGGAAGCUGCCCGGCUUGUUGUGGCAGAUCUGGAGGCAGCCCCCGUUCUCCUGGCUGCAUUCAUUGACAUCUGGGAACAAGCACAGGCCUGAAGGGGAGCCCAAGGGUGCAGAGUCCCCGUCUAGGCACACAGGGGCUGGGGCUGAGGAAACAAGGACCAGGACCAGGGAUUCGGCAUCAGCACAGCCACCAGGAGCCGGCCGGGGCCCCAUCCCUGACCCUGCCAUGGCCCGGCUCUACCUAGGUGCUGUGUCCGCAGGACGUCUGGAGACGUCAAUGUGAUCACAGCAGGGCCUGGAAGGGGGAGGUCCAGCCUGAACUAGAGAAACGAGGGGCGCGUCCACUUCGCCACUCUGGCCUCAGAUGAAGAGGCUCUGGGGGCAGGAGGGAGUCAGACACAUGCAGGGCAGGCGGCCUGUGCAGGGCCCAACCCUCUGGCACCAGAACCUGACCCUCAAGAGGCCCCCACUGUGGAGGGAUGCUGUGCGCUGCCACUUACAACGUUUGGUUAGAGACUAAAGUCAUUUCAGAAGUGGA